CAGCAGCCGCGGGAAUACGUAGGUGGCAAGCGUUGUCCGGAAUUAUUGGGCGUAAAGGGCGCGUAGGCAGUUGGACAAGUCUUGUGUGAAAUCUUCAGGCUCAACCUGAAGUCUGCAUAGGAAACUGUCCGGCUUGAGUGUGGGAGAGGUGCGUGGAAUUCCCGGUGUAGCGGUGAAAUGCGUAGAGAUGUGGAGGAACACCAGUGGCGAAGGCGACUCUCUGGUCUGUAACUGACGCUGAGGAGCGAAAGCGUGGGGAGCGAACAGGAUUAGAUACCCCAGUAGUCCCUGUCUCUUAUAC
rnacentral:rRNA from 1 species